rnacentral:sRNA from 1 species
CCGCGAACCCACAUCCCUACAAAGCAGGAAAGUAUGCUUGGGAGAGGCCAAGUGAGUGGGGAAUCAGCCCAAAGCCAGGCAUCCAGGGUCUCCCUCACCUGAAGCUGACUUUUUCCCCACCUUGGACAGAGGGCGGGAGAUGCCAUCCCCACUGAACCCAGUGCUUUCACCAGCCAUAUUAGCUCCCACUCACCCCCCGUCGUGGAAGCCUCGGCCGUCACACCUGCAGGGCCGGGGCGUGCAUGGCCUCAGGGAUGGCCUGUUCAGCUGCUGGGUGACUCAGGUCCAGGUGCCUCACCACCUGCUGAGCUCUGUGUGAUUUCUGGACACUUCUGCUGAUUGCCUUUGGGCUCAGUGAAGAGUCUGGAGUUUAUCUGGAGUGAGGUGGCCGGGUCUUGGUGGGAUCUGAGCAGAGUCCAUUCAGGAGCAGGAAAGUUCAUCUCAGACCCUAAAUCCAGCCACGUCAUGCCACGCUUAACACCUCUAACAACUUCCCCUGGCACUUAGGACAGCGUCUGGCUCCUUCCCUCGGCUCGUGGCCCUCAGAAUCUGCGUCACAUACACCCCAGCUCUCCCGAUAGGUCUCUGCACUCGCUGUUGCCUCUGCCUGGAACAGUCUCCCUCCUGGUGUCAUUGUCUCCGUGGUGUGUCCUUCCUGACCUUCCACCUCCACCAGGUGCCGACACUUCCCUGACCCCAGUAACCUCUUCUCUUGGGUGGGUGAAUGCCACCUGCUGAUGUCUGAUUUAUUCAUCGGUUUUCUUGUCUGUAGUCUGUCCCCCUUGGGGACAGGGACUCGUUGCUCAUGUUCACCCGGCAGGCUGGACGCUUCAUGGAGGGCUCCAAAGCUGGCAGAUCCCGGGGCCGCCUCUGUCUCUCCCAGGCCCUGCGUGUUACGGUGAGAGGAGCAUUUGUGUCUCUGUGGUUUGCUGCUGGAACUGGUGACCGGGAGAGAAACAAGGGAGACAAGGGUGUCCAGACAGGUGUGGGGCUCAGCCAGGAGGCAGAAGACGUGGACGUGUCCCGGGCCAGGAGGGUCACAGAUGCACCACAAGGCACUCUGUGUGGCACUGGGAACAGGAAUUCUGGGAGUCAGUCUGCAAGGGCGGUGGGCAUUGCUCACCUGGGAGAAGCCUUUAGAGUGGGCGUUGAGCAGGCCAUUAGCUCGUGCCCUGAGGAGGUGCAUGGGCGGCAUGGGCUCUCCAUGGAAAUUAUGUGGGCGCGAAUGGAUGUGGCUCUGCGCUCACCUGGGCGAGGACUUCUGGCCGGUGCCGGGGCACUCUGCAUGACCCUGGCAGAAUCGAGCUGCCCUGACUAUGAAAGGGGAAGAAGAGCAUGCCUGACCCCCCACCGGCACCCCACCCCCUCACUGUUCCACCUGGGGCCUGCCUCUGCGGGUGGCUGGGUCCUGGCUGACUGUUGUGACUGUUGAGGCCCUGGGGGGGUGGCGCAUGGAAGUUAGGAGGACUGGCCAGGUGGGGCCCACUAUGCACCCACCCCCAGUGUCAGGUGCUUCUCCUCUCCUCCUCCACCACCUCCUCCUCCUCCUCCUCAUCAUCAUCAUCACUUGUUGAGGACGUCCUGUGUGCCAAGUGGUUUAUAUGCCCAGCCUCAUUUAAUCCUCAGAAUGACUCCAUGAGGUAGCUACUAAAACCCCCCACUUAACAGAUGAGGAAACUGAGGCCUAGAGAAGCUCAACAAGUUGCCUAAGUUCCAAGUUUCCUCUCCCAACUCUCCUACCCUCUCCUCUUCCUUCUCCUUUCUCCCAUUCUUCCCUGCCUCUUCCCUAACUAGACAAUUUUUUAUUGAGUGUCUCCCAGGUGCAGGCAUGAGCCAGGUGCUGGGAAGAUCAUGAUAACCCAGCUCCUUCUGGUCGUUUUCUCAGCUGGUUAGAGGCUGGGAGGACACGCAAGUUCAGCUCCAGCCGACUGGGGCAUUGGUGGUAGCCCCUGGAGACAUUGUGCAAUGGGGCUACGAGGCUGCAUCUGGCUCCAGGGAAGCGUGUUGCAAUCCAUGAGUGAUGUCUGCCAUGCGUACAGGCAUGGAGAGUGAGGCACCUGUACUGUCUUCCUGUAGACCCUAGACUGGUGGGGCCUCUGAAAUGCAUCCAGACACUGUGCUGGGUGUGUUGCAUGGCCCUCCCAACCAAUUCAGUAUUUUUCUCCCCAUUUUCCAGGGAGAAAUCUAAGGCGUCGGAAUGUAAGGUUCUCAUUGGAACCCAGGCUCCAGGGUCCCUGGUUUUCUGUGACAUCAUGCCGCAGGACCCUGUUUCUCUCUUUGCUUUGGCUGCUGGGGAGCUCAGAAGGGAGCUUUAGGCUUGCUCUCAGUCACCACAUUAGCUCAGGGGUUUGGGCAUUUUUGUCGCCAUCUCCUUUGGGCUCUGUCUCCUCCCUGCUGUGCUUCCCGAGGAGCAGGCCGGAUGUAAGUUAUCAACUAUAAAUAAAACCAAGACUUCCGUUCUGGCUCUCA